CUGUUUACAGCUUUUUUGCUUUGUAAUGUACUGUACCAUAACCCUCUCUUUUUUUUUCAGAUUAUAACACAAAGUACCAUACUGCCACAUUUCAUCCUUUGCUGAAUGACUGGAACAUCCAUUUCUACAUGGCAUCAGACUAAUACAUAUAUUUCCAAAGUCAAAUGAAUGAAUCAGAAGACAUACAGUAAAUGUCCACAGUCUCCAAAGGAUUACUGCAGAGAUUCUAGCAUUUAAAGUAUUUCCAACACUGGAGAUUCCAGAUUAAACAAGGAGGACAUGCAAACACAGCCCAUUUCAAGAGUCAGUUUCACAGAGAGUAAUGCUUUCAGAUACAAAAAUAGAUGGGGGAAGGAUGAAGCUUCAACAGCAU
rnacentral:lncRNA from 1 species